GGGACAUAAGGUCCCUUCUAACCUAAGCCAUUCUGUGACUCUGUGACUCUAUGAUUCUAUGAUCUGAGAGGUAACAGGUGCACUGAAACCGUAUGGCUGGGAGAAAGUUCUGGGAUUUCCUCAUCUGGAUUGUGGCCAGAAUGGAAAGUUUUCUGACUAAAGUCAAGUAUCUCAAGGUCGUAUAAAUGAAGGUCCUAAGCAAAGAGCUCCUGUAGGGACUGCAGUAGGCUGUGGUCCUUGCUCUCCCCCUGAGCUGGAACGUCUCUCAGGAUAAGCUUUUCUUCUGAGAUCAACGCUGAAGAAGUAGAGACCAUUUUGGGAUGGAUCCCAUUGUCUACUGAGAGCUGAUGAAUUGGCGGACUUUAUUUGAAUCAAUGAAUUAAUCAAUGUACCUGCCAGAAGAUACUGACUUUGUGUUGGAAGAGUUUGACUAGAUACACUGAGAACUGACAACCUCCUGAAACACUGAAAAGGACUAUUUCGGAUUUGCUUUGGAUUGACAGAGUAGAGAUUUUCGAUAGAGCUGGGCCUGUCUGGGUGAAUCUGCUCCUUAGCCAAACAAAACAGAAGCUGAGAGGCAAUUCAACCACGGCCUAUAAACAAGUUCCAGACUACACACCAGCGGAGAAGAGAAGCUUCUCAUGAAUAUGUUUAUGCUGGAAAUUAGAAGGUUACCUAAUCCCCACAGCAAUGAUGCUUUGGAGCAACUCUUUACUAGAAGACUGAGGCAACACCAUUUUCAGAUGAGGCUUGAUUAGCUGCAAGGCCUGUCUAUGGUUGUAAGAUGACAAGUGACGGGCAGCAUGGGCCUAUCGAUGGGCUCCCUUCAAAACACUGCCUUACUUGUCAUGGUGGGAACCCUUGGAUGCUGAGUAUUCUGGAAAACUCAAUUUCCACUAGGAUUCUGAAAGUGACCAGAGGCUGCUCGUUAAGAUCAAUACCAGCCUGAGCUUUUCAAAUCUCCUUUCCCAAUGGUAUUAACGUGAGGCACCUGGAAGGAAAGAAAUAGACUAUGGAUCAUUGAUAACAG
ensembl:lncRNA